rnacentral:rRNA from 1 species
UUUCCGUAGGUGAACCUGCGGAAGGAUCAUUACCGAGUUCUCGGGCUUCGGCUCGAAUCUCCCACCCUUUGUGAACGUACCUCUGUUGCUUUGGCGGCUCUUUGCCGCGAGGAGGCCCUCGCGGGCCCCCCCGCGCGCUUUCCGCCAGAGGACCUUCAAACUCCAGUCAGUAAACGUCGACGUCUGAUAAACAAGUUAAUAAACUAAAACUUUCAACAACGGAUCUCUUGGUUCUGGCAUCGAUGAAGAACGCAGCGAAAUGCGAUAAGUAAUGUGAAUUGCAGAAUUCAGUGAAUCAUCGAAUCUUUGAACGCACAUUGCGCCCCCUGGCAUUCCGGGGGGCAUGCCUGUUCGAGCGUCAUUACAACCCUCAAGCUCUGCUUGGUAUUGGGCGCCGUCCUCUCUGCGGACGCGCCUUAAAGACCUCGGCGGUGGCUGUUCAGCCCUCAAGCGUAGUAGAAUACACCUCGCUUUGGAGCGGUUGGCGUCGCCCGCCGGACGAACCUUCUGAACUUUUCUCAAGGUUGACCUCGGAUCAGGUAGGGAUACCCGCUGAACUUAA